rnacentral:pre_miRNA from 10 species
UGAGGAGGAGAGAGAGGUGUGAAUGUCUGUCGCUGGCUGAAAUCGGACCAAGUCAUCAGUUCACUCAUUUGGUCCCCUUCAACCAGUUACAGUAGGCACACUGACACCGUUCCAAGAGAC